CCUACGGGUGGCUGCAGUGGGGAAUAUUGGACAAUGGGGGCAACCCUGAUCCAGCCAUGCCGCGUGUGUGAAGAAGGCCCUCGGGUUGUAAAGCACUUUCAGUGAGGAAGAACGCCUGGUGGUUAAUACCCAUCAGGAAAGACAUCACUCACAGAAGAAGCACCGGCUAACUCCGUGCCAGCAGCCGCGGUAAUACGGAGGGUGCGAGCGUUAAUCGGAAUUACUGGGCGUAAAGCGCGCGUAGGUGGCUUGAUAAGCCGGUUGUGAAAGCCCCGGGCUCAACCUGGGAACGGCAUCCGGAACUGUCAAGCUAGAGUGCAGGAGAGGAAGGUAGAAUUCCCGGUGUAGCGGUGAAAUGCGUAGAGAUCGGGAGGAAUACCAGUGGCGAAGGCGGCCUUCUGGACUGACACUGACACUGAGGUGCGAAAGCGUGGGUGGCAAACAGGAUUAGAUACCCCUGUAGUC
rnacentral:rRNA from 1 species